rfam:Myotis brandtii contig204503, whole genome shotgun sequence.
GGCGGUUCCCGGGUGAUGACCCCAGAAUCGGGCUCCCUUCCCUCUGGUUCUGGGUGCGACACCCGAGAAACGCA